GAUUCUGCCAAUUUUGUCAUAAAAGAAGGAAAUGACAAUGACUUGGCUGAUGCAAUCUGGCAGAGUUUUGAUCACCCUUGUAAUUCGUUUUUGGCUGGCAUGAAGCUUGGUAUAGACCGAGCGAAAGGCCUGGAUCGGUACUUGACCUCAUGGAAAAGCAUAGAUGACCCUUCCCCGGGUAAUUUCACAUUUAGGCUUGAUUCUUCAGGAUAUCCGCAGCUGAUCAUGAGGAACGGAUCAGUAGUGCAGUCAAGGUCAGGACCUUGGAACGGCAUUCGGUUUAGUGGGUACCCUCAGUUGAGGCCGAAUCCAGUUUAUAGCUUUGGCUUCGUCUUCAACCAAAACGAAAUUUACUAUUACUUCAGUCUUUUGAACAGUUCCAUCCCAUCGAUGCUGGUUUUAAAUGAGAAUGGGAUGGCUCAGCGCUUCACUUGGGUAGACCGGACACAUGGUUGGAUAAUGUAUUCGUCUGCUAAAACAGAUGACUGUGACACUUAUGCUUUAUGUGGAAGGAAUGGGAAUUGCGACAUUGCUAGCUCUCCAAAGUGCAUGUGCUUGACAGGGUUUGUGCCCAAAUACCCGAGUGAAUGGGAAUUUGGGGAUUGGUCAAACGGGUGUGUCCGGAGGACUGAACUGAAUUGCCCGGGAGGAGAUAAAUUUCUGAAGUACACCCAAGUGAAGUUGCCUGACACGAGGCAAUCGUGGUUCAACAAGAGCAUGAACCUUCAAGAAUGUGAGCAGACAUGCUUGAGGAACUGCUCAUGCACGGCUUAUUCAAACUUGGAUAUUAGAGGGCAAGGAAGUGGAUGCUUACUUUGGUUCGGUGACCUGAUGGAUAUCAGACAGGUCAACGAGAACAUCCAGGGUAUUUACUUAAGGAUGGCUGCAUCAGAAGUCGGUACGUGUUCAAAACCUGAGUUACUUUCGACAUGAUGACAGAAGGAAGAGAAUGAGUUCGAAAUAGCUGUUAGAUUCUUACUGACUUCUAUUUUCAAUUUAUUGUAAUGUGUAUCAAGGCGGCAGUUUCAGCAGAAAUCCUGGCACAAAGAAAAGCACGGGCAUCAUUGUCAGCACCGUGCUGUCUGCAGUGUUUCUUCUCGGCAUCACGGUUUUUUACAUAAAGUAUAGGAGAGAUGGUAAAGUCGUUUUUAUCAGAUAAUUACGGUUUCCACUCAAGAUGCCUUUCUUGAUCCACAAGAGUUGUUUUUUGCUCUUGUUAGCAUAGGUUUUAAAUAUUGCUGCUCUGCAUCAAAUGCAAAGUUUCGUCAGAUCAUCCCUCUUUGAAAAUUUCAAUCAAGUGGCCUGAAAAAUAUAAAUGAACCAAAUCUGUAUCACUUUGAAUUUUGUUUCGGGAUUUUAAACCUCAAUUAUGAUUUUCUUUAGUUGAUGAAUUUACUCACUCUAAUUUCUACUUGUAGGACAAAUCUUUGGAUUCUCCCAUCAAAGCCGUGGUGAAGACCUAGACUUACCUUUGUUCGACCUCACAACCCUAGUGAACGCGACGAGUAACUUCUCUGAAGACAGCAAACUCGGAGAGGGAGGCUUUGGAGCUGUCUAUAAGGUGACUAUUCUCAUUUUUUGAAAUUCUAAAUCUGCUCGUACAUAUCCAAAUGCACAAUCGAAAAAGGAGCCAAAAAACUUCUAUCUUUUAGGGUGUUCUGAAGAAUGGCCAAGAAAUUGCUGUGAAGAGGCUUUCGGAAAACUCUAGGCAGGGACAGGUUGAGUUCAAGAACGAAAUCGCCUACAUCGCCAAACUUCAACACCGAAACCUCAUCAAGAUUCUGGGAUGCUGCAUUCAAGCAGAUGAAAUGAUGUUGAUCUAUGAGUUCUUGCCCAACCGAAGCUUGGAUUGUUUCAUUUUCGGUUUGAUUCGCUCCAGUCCCUACAUUUUAAUUGCUUUUGUCAUAAAAAAAGAGUGAAGAAGCUUCCAUUUCAUAACUCAUAACGCCUACAAUUUGGCAGACCAAGAGAAGGGUGUUUCCCUGGAUUGGCCUAGGCGCUUCACUAUCAUCAACGGCGUAGCUUUGGGGCUUCUAUACCUUCACCGAGACUCAAGAUUAAGAAUUAUUCAUAGAGAUCUGAAAGCUGAAAACAUCCUGCUCGACAACGAAAUGAAUCCAAAGAUAUCAGACUUUGGUUUGGCGAGGAGUUUCGGAGGUAACGAGAGCGAAGCAAAUACAAAGAGAGUGGUGGGAACAUUGUGAGUUCUCUUAACAAGUGAUCUCCACUGAUUUUGGUCCAAUUGCUCAAAGAACUAAUCAUUCCUUUCAAUGACUUCUUUGCAUAGUGGUUACAUGUGCCCAGAGUAUGCCAUCAACGGUUUUUAUUCCGUAAAAUCAGAUGUCUUCAGUUUUGGUGUUUUAGUACUGGAAAUCGUGAGCGGGAAAAGAAACCGAGGUUUCAAUCAUCGUGACAAGCGUUUAAGCCUUCUCGGAUAUGUAAGCGUAAAGAUUUAUCAGAUCUCUUUGCUUAUUUAUCUUCAGUUAGUUUCUACUCUUAUUCUAGAUGACUAACACAAUAAUGCAGGCCUGGACACUGUCAAGAGAUCAAAAGUUUAUGGAGCUCGUCGAUCCGUUGAUUGCAUCCACAUUUAACCCCGUGGAAGUUUUACGAUCCAUCCAUGUGGCUUUGUUGUGUGUUCAAAAUAAUCCGCACGAUAGACCAGAGAUGUCAUCUGUGGUUAUGAUGUUGAACAGUGAGAGCACAUUGCCUCAGCCUAAACAGCCUGGUUUUUUUGAGGAGACAUCUGCAUCCGAAGCAAGUUCUUCAAGCGACAGCAGGCAUAAGAAAUAUUCAGCCAACGAAAUAACUAUUUCACAUUUACUGCCUCGAUGAUAUUUCUGUAAUUUCAAUUAUGUUUAUAUUGAUCCCAUAUGAAUACGAGAGGAUCAUGGCAUUUGUAUGAGAGUCGUCUCUUAAUCUGGAAUUGAAAGACCUUACGGGGACAUGUGAAAGAUUGUGCCUUUUGUUCUUCCAAAAUUUGCUGGAUUCCGGUCAGAAAACGAAGAAUGUGUACACGGACCACAAAGUGAAAAUUUCAGGGUCUUUUCUUGGUAUGAUAUUCUAGCAAAGAAACCCUUGAAUACCUUAUUAAGAAUAUCGGUGAACUUAGAGAAGUAAACUUGCAUUUUUGAAAGAAUCCUUAAUAUUUCAAUGUCUGAUUCAGUUUGAAUCGACAAAAAUAUAAAUUAGGGAAAAAGUGGGCAUAACUACAAGUGAGAUCGUAAUCAGUACUAAAACCGUUGCUCUGUCAAGGUUUGCACAGUGAUGUUUCUUCUAUUCUAUCAUGCCAAAAUAACCAUGUCCUUCAAAUCACAUCGUGCAUUACGGUGACAUCAACAAGCUCAAAUGCACCUAAAACAGUAGGGGUGAGCAGCGGUCCAGGUUGACCCUGGACCGACUCUGGACCGGCUCAACCCUGCUAGUCCUGGUCCAAUUUCUAAGGAGACUGGGUCGGUCCUUGGUCCUAAAAUUCCAAAACCAGUAUUGUGUGGGUCGAUCCUCGGUCUUAAGAGUUCCGAGUUGAUCCAAUUCGGACCAACCCUAAAUAUAUAUAUAUAUAUAUAUAUAUAUAUUAUUUAUAAUUUUUUUAUAUAAAGAAAACCUUAAAAUAAAUGGUGUCAACAACAUUAAACAGCUAUUUAGCGAGGAGUUCAAGUAAUUUUACAUUAUUCUUUAAUAUUUUAGAUUUUUAAUGUUUUUUACGGUAUUAAUAGUCAUAAUUUACGAAGGAGGAAAAUGUUUUUGUAAGGAGUCCUCACGGCAUCCAAAAAGGUAUAGACAACUCCUUAUGGCAUCCUCCUCUAGUAUUAGUUCCCUUUUGUCUUAUUUGUUCACUUAGUUUUUAAUUUGCCAAAAUCGAAAUAAAAAAUUUAUCCGCUCACCACUCGACACUCGCUUUGCUCGCUUUGGGUCACUCGUGCCGCUCGCCACUCAAUGCUGGCUUGGCUCGUUGCUCCCUGCCUGGCAUUCCAUGCUCAUUCUGUUCGACGCUCACCCCACUCGACCCUCACUGCUUGCUUUUCUUAGUUGACCUUGCUCAUCAUCGAACCCAUUGGAUCGGUACAAUCCUCAGUCACCCUUUCAAGGAGUACAAAAAAUGAAAUAAAAAAUUAUUGGUUAGUCCUAAGUUGACCUUGAAAUCGGACCGAACCUAUUGGGUCAGUCCAAUCCUCAGUCGUUUUUUUUUUAAGGAGUACAAAAAUUAAAUAAAAAAUUAUUGGUUAGUCUUGGGUUGAUCCUGAAACCGAACCGAACCCAUUAGGUCGGUCCAGUCCUCGGUCCCAAGCUCAAUAAGGUCAGUCAUUGGUCCCAAAAGUUGAGGAUCAACACUGUGCGGGUUGGUCCUAGGGUUAGGAAGUAGACCGGCUCAACAUGGACCAUGCUCACCUCUAUAAAAAAGGGGAAAAGGAAAAGGAAUUUACUUCGCAAGACUGUUGGCUAUAAAUGAAAGAUUCUUGUAUCAUCUUAAGAGCCAUUUUUGGGACUCUAGAUGAACAGAAUAAGCACUGAAAUCUUACACAGCAUAGAGGUGUUGGAAAAUGCAUAAAGAAGUAGGAAUUGGGUGGGAAUGAGAUUGAUUGACCUCCUUGCUACUGUAGUCAAUGGGCACAACCCAUUGCAAUCACUAGAUUGGCCCAAAUAGUUCACUAUCAUCAAGGCAAUGAGAACGGAGCUAUUCUAGUUGAUAUUGCAAUGAACAUGAAGAUAUUGGACUUUGAUUCACCAAGAUGUUUCUGACGUAAUGAGAGGGAAGGAACCAAACAUAGAGACUAAGGGAGCUGUCCGAAUAUAGUGAGUCCUCUACUAAAACAUCUGAAUUAUGCUUAAAUUUGCUUCAAGAACUAAUACUUCUGUGUGAUAAUUGAAUGUUGUAUUUAUAAACCCUCUCAGUAUGCCAUCGAUACUGAAUAGACUCGGAUUUCAUCGGUCCAGUUAUUUAGCCAUCCCAAUCAUAGGCCCGCGGGAUGCCUCUGUGGUUAUGAUGCUUCGAGUAGAGCGCAUUGCCUCAGCCUAACUGGUUCAAUAAUUCCAUAGAGGAGAUUAUAUUCAAAACAAGUUCUUCAAGUUACGGCAAGUACCCAAGAUUUUCAGCCUAAUUAAAUGACCAUUUCCGGUAAAAUCUAGACAGACAAAUCUGCUAGCUCCUGCUGACCAACCAUCAUGAUUUGGUACAACACAAAAAACUGAUGGUGUUUAAUCUAACAUUAUGAAGUUGUCACUUCCAUUUAUUAUAUCAAGAAUUUACAUUACAAAAAGGAUCAGUUCACAUUCAUGAGUGCUGUGGGCGCUUGUACCUUGCAUCACAUUAUAUUAAAUGUUCUAUGAGGUUGCACUCCAGAGAGUUUUUUUUUUGUCAAAACACUCUAGAGAAGUUUAAACAGUCGAGAAGGAGAACCUAGUCACACGUAUACUUUUUACAUAAUACAGUCUAAUAGUUCAGGCUGCACAAAAUUAUAUCUUUACCCAUUCUAGGCCCGAUUUCCCAUCUGGUGUGUUGCUCUGUUGAAGUUCCAAGUAAUCCUUGUACUUCAUCUAGUUGUCCACGGCUCAGUUGUUCUCACCAUCCACCAGCUGCUCCACUGGCAUGACAACAAUGUCUAGCGACGGUCCACUAGAUAGAGAGAUUGAUAGCCUUGUUCAUGACAGCUCGAUGCAGAAUGCUCUUGUAUUUCCCAUUGCUCAUAGCCUUGCGUGAAAAGUGCUGAGAAAAAGAAAAAGUUAGUUGCAAAUAAGCUUUAUGGUAACAAGAAGAACUAUAUGUACCAUAGUUUAUGUGUAAUAACAAUGUCCCUUCCAUGAAGACCCUUGUCGUAUCUGCAUCUAUAAACCAAGGCACACUUUACACUUCACACACCAAAAUUUGAAACAAAUUGGACCUCUCUUGCAAAAUUUAUGGGGGGAGAUUUGAAAGAUGAAACAUUAAUUCCUAUCUAUGUACCUCGAGGUGACCACCAGUGUUGGCCAAAAAGGCGUUUGGAAUGGGAUCGACUUCGACCCACUUCUAGCCGAGGUGCACUUGAAGGCCACCAAUUCCAUUCUGCAUGAGGAUGGUCAAUAGGCCCGUCCAGGUGUCAGACCAUGCCCAUAGCUCGUUCCGGCUGCGGGCACAGCGGAUACUGAUUCGCCAUUAAUAUCUGUAAGCUUGAAUCCAUGUUCACUGCCUUGUUGAUAUAGCCUAUGUAGCACGGACACUCUCCGGAAGCUUUCAUAUCGUGUCCGACACUCCGACACGUAUCCAACACGCAAUCAACGAGUGUUGAAAAAUCUGACACGUGGUCAACUCUCUCCGACGCGCGAGUCCAGAAUUUCGACACGUGAUUCCAAUACACAUUGGGUCAAUUUAAAAAUUUCUAAUACUUGAGGGGACAAAAUAUAAAUAUACACAAAAGAAGUAAUAAAAGAAGUAUAAAAUUGCUAUAAAUAUACACGCACGGGGUCAAUUAUUUUUUUCAGUUUUGUUUUUUUAAUAAUUGUUUUAGUUUUUUUAAAAGUCUUUUACUAUGAAAGAAGUAAUAAAAAAUGAUAUAUAUGAUAAAUAAAUAAAUUUAAAAAUAUCAUUUCUACAUUUUUCUUUAAAUAAUGUUUUUUUCCUCUAAGUUUUAUGUAUUGUUGUAACAAAUUAAAAUAAUGAAUGAUAUUAUUUAAUAUUUUUUGUGUAAAUUAAUUCUAUGCUAUUAUUAUUAUUAUUAUUAUUAUUAUUAUUAUUAUUUAAAUAUGUAUUUAUACAUAAAAAUAUAUUUAAUAUAUAACAUGUUGAAACGUGUCGAAAUUCUAUAUUUUAAGAAAUGAUGUGUCGGUGUGUCGUAUUGUGUCGUGUCGCAUGUCGCGUGUCCGUAUCGGUGCUAUGUAGGAUAUAGCCCAAUUGGAGUCCUGGGAUUUAUCAUAUACCCUCACGGAGUUCCCGAAACAAUUUCUGGUCCACCCCUGAGUACUCUCCUAAAAAUUCACUGCAACAAACAUUGCUUUCAUCCAUCAGAGGAAAUGCCACGGUGGUGUUCUUUUCAUCUGUAGGGACGUCGACAGUUAGUGUUAAUCUUUUAUCUGGUGCGUUACUAGUUGUCUUGCUCUACCAAAUUGAAUCCUUACUUGGUUGAUUAUCUCUAGUGUACAAAAUUGUUAUUGUCUAACAUCAAGAUUGUGAGAUUUUGCGGGACACAUUUUUAAAAAAAAAAAUUAAGCUGAACGCAUGAUUUAUUAUUUGAAUAUUUUAACACUCCCUUUUAUACUUAAUUUGGUCUUUUGCCUAGUAUUAAGUGUAGAAAUUAAAUUUGAGAAAUAAAAUGGGGUCUAAAAAUAUUCAAACUCAGAACCUCAAGCUUUGAUACCAUGAAAGUUUUUGUGGGAUUAUAUCCAAUUAUUCUAAAAGCUUAUACUAAUAGAUGAAUAUGUUGUUUAUUAUUUAAAUAUUUUAACAAGGAUGAUCCAAAAUAAUGAUAUCUUAACAUAAGAAUCAUGUAGUUUCUAUUGCUAUGUUUCAAUUCCCCGGACAAGUUUAUGAGCAAAGAAACCCGUUUGAUAACGACUCAAAAUUUCUAUUUCUGAAACAGAAAUCUGUUUGAUAACAGCACAAAAUUUCUAUUUCUAAGAAUAGAAAUUGAUUAAAUAACAAUAUAUGAAAUCCUCAAAUACAAAAUAAUAAUGGAAAUAAUACUAAAACAACAUAGGAAAUCCUCAAAUACAAAAUGAUAGUAGAAAUAAUACUAAUAUUGAAAAUACAAUUUCAUGGAAUUUCCGGCAUAUUAUUAUCCCUUGCCAUUUUAUUAGCAAUCGUUUUCCUAUGCGUAUUUAUUUGGUUUCCCUCCUCGGUCAAUGUAUCAUUUGCAAGCUCAUCCUACGUAGGUUCAGACAAGUACUGCGGAAGCAUGAAUAUGGGUGACAUCAAUGACGCCUAUACAACCUUGCCAUUUUAUCAAAAACUAGUAUUAUACAAGAUUAUCAACAAAUUAAAAUUAAUGGUGUAAAGAAAUAUAUGAGAAUAUUACCAUAAAGUAACGUUUAUGGUUAGGAACCAAUCGGAGGAAGGUCGAUUUAUUUUGAUUCUCGAAUUGAAUUUCCAGUUGCUCAUCCCUAAUUUUUUUAUUGUUGUUCAAUAAACCUUUAAUGGCCCUUUCAUAGCAAAGAGAGAGAUUCUCUUGAAUCUCUUGCAUUCAAAUUAAAAUUCAAGAUUGUGUAACAAUCUAAUUAUUUUGAUUUUGCAAGAAUUUUGAAUCCGUAAAAAAAAUAAGGUUAAAUUUUUAGGCACGUUUUUUAUUCAUCUAUUACGUAAGAACUUUUUCUUCAAUUGGCCAUGCGCGUGCUUUUUCUAGGAGGAAAGAGCCUCAUUGUUUUUAAGUAAGCAUUUAAGAACUUUGGUCGUUUUUGAAAAUUGGGGACCAUUCGAUUGCCUUUCAUCCUAAAGAGUAAGUUAUAAAAAAAAUGCAAAAAAAAAAUAAAAAUAAAAAUAACACAAGCAAAAAGAAAAUUAGCAAUAAUUUGUGAAGUUGUGGUUAUGAGUGAAUUAAGUUAGCAAGAAAGCGCAAGGUUCUUUUAUAUGGUUUGAUUUCAGUUUCUGAUUUCUAUUUCAAAAACUGAGAAGUUAAAAAUUUCAGCUUUUGGUUUCUUUAAUUUCUCUAUUUCUGGAAUAGAAAUCUGUUUCAGAAAUAGAGAAAUCAAAUUGCGUUACCAAACGGAUUUCUGUUAUAAACCUGUUCCGGGGAACAGAGAAAUAGAGAAAUCGAGAAACAUAAAUUUUGUCAUGCAUGCCCUAGAUGUCUGGGUCAGUAUAGAUCUACUAUACAAAAUUAACAAACCGGAGCCAAAAAUGCUAAAGAGCGACUCAGAUGGAUAGAAGUUGCUCAAAUUCAAACGACGUCAUUUCCAAACUCUCUUUCUCUUUCUCUCUCUUCUUGUUACUUAAGUGGUCACUUUAAAAAUAUAUAUAUAAAUUUAAAAAUUUAUAGCUAUGAAACAAUCACUCUUGAAGUUAUUAGAACUUUUGUUGUCCUUCAACACACGUUCAAGCAAUGUUGUUUGCCUUCUCAAGUGUUGACUUCAACUUACUAAAAUGCCAUGUUGAACGAUAUAUUAUAAAUUAAUGCCACGUUGACUCUUGUCGAUGGCACUCAAGUAAACGGAAAAAAAAAAAGUUAUAGCAUUCAAAUAAGCGUCGUACAAAAGUUAUGACACUCUUAGUGUACUUAUCCCAAUGCCCCCACCACCUCGUGACAGAAGUGACAAUGACAUUCCGUGGUUGUUGAAAGAGGAAAUGACUUUUACACUGUUUAUGAUGCAUUGAACUGUUCAAUCCACUCCUCCAGCCUUGUCCAUGCAAGCCCUUUCACUCGCUUUUAUGAAGGGUCGGAAGACUAAAAAAUCCCUUAACCCAUUCUGAUUGUCUACUUGACAUGAUAUGGUUAUUUGAUGCAAACGAGUGUCGCGACCCGCCCUCCGCAAGCUCAUUGGGAGGGACGGUGGUUUAGGGAUAUUUGCUCAAGAGUUCUCACUCAAGGUCAUGUCCACCAAAGGCGUCAUCACCUCGCAUUGAGUUUGAAAUCUACACGAACACGAGUUCUCCCAGACCUAUACCCUGCGUGGCAAUGGAAAUGUGUUGUGAUUCGCUUCUACACAUACGAUACACCUUAAAAAAGAGAUUGAGUGUGAAAGGCGAUUUUAGGGAUACUUGUUGACACUUAAAUUUUACCGUACUUAAUUGUGUAGAAAAUUAGGGAUUAGUUUUUAAACCUUAGAUAAAAUUAGGGCAAGGGGUUGGGCUUGCUCGGCCCUCCAUUUCCUCCUCUUCUUUCUUCUUUUCUCUUUUUGUGUGGGCCGGCUCAUCUCUCUUCUUCCUUCUUUUCUUCUUUUCACAGGGACCGGCCCAUCUCCUAUCAUGUCGGCCCGGCCCGCGCGUGGGUCUUCUUCCUCCCUCACGCCCUCGCGCUGGCUUUGCUUUUGCAGAAAAGAAACGUACAAACCAAAGAAGGAGGCAGAGGAUCGCGAGGGCAGACGGCAGCAUGAUCUGCAGAUCGGGGCCAAGCCGGCCAGUAAGCUGCCGAUGGCAUAAGCCAUAGGCGCUGGCCCGUGGCCCUCAGAAGGGAGAGAGAGUGAGCGAGAGAGGUCUGGAGAGACAGAGACGGAGAAGGAGGGAUAAGUUUGGGAGAGCUGAUGUGGUUGUUUUGGUUUGUCAUUUGAUGGUUUACGUUGGGUCUAUAUCCGCGGAUUUGAAUGCGAAAGAUGUUCAAUAUUUCCCUUUUAGCCGCUGCAUACCACUUGCUUGACUGCAGAUAGGCUGAUGCACUACCAAUCUGUUUCAAAAGAUAUAAUCCAGCAAUAGAACAUUCAAAAGAGGUAAAAAAGUAAAACAAUGUCAUGCGGGACAAAAUUGAAAAGGCUGCCAAAAGGUUGUGGGCUUCACACUUCAUCUAAAAUAGCCAAGGACAGAGAAUGUCAAAGGAAUAUUAGAAGCCAGGGGAAGAGAGGGAGGGAAGGCCAUAUAAAAUUACUGUCAUAUUCAUUAAGCUAGAAUUAUGUUACACCAUUUAAAUUUUUUGUUCCAUUAGCCCUAAGGACACUCUCAAACCCAGUAUUUCCGGUAAAUUACUUUUAUGACAGACCUGCAAAUGACUGAAUUAACUGACCUUAUAGAUCUCUGUAUUUACAAGCGUUAGUAAGAAAAGGACCCCUCUGACGGUAAUAUUUGCGGUUGUGUAGCAAUAUACUCAAUUUCUUUUUUGAAAUCCACAUCAGAAUUUAGAAUAUGUAUCUCCACAGAGAGAAGCGACCAUACACCAAAACUUGUACUCCUUUUAUGUUCUUUCAUCUUCCGGCAUCCUUCCAUCGACUUCUCAUUAUUCUAGGCUGUACUUCCGUCACACCGAUGCAAAAGAAAAUUGGCUAAACUCAGCAUUUAUUGAAGGCUCUCAUUCUACGUGUGUCUAACAAAGUUUGUCAAGCUUGUGCUAGACAGUGAAUACUACAAAAUAGAGGCUUCUUUGUCAAGUAAUCAUCGAUGAAGCACAGAAAAAUCCAUCUCUAGAGUAUAGAAAAGCUCACUGUAAGAGGAACAAGAGCAACAGAGUAAAUUGGCAACUUGAUUGCCCUCCAUAUCAAUGUUGCCAUGGAAAUAUCAUCUUCUUUUGCCAAUUCAGAACUAUGAGCAUUCUUCCCAAAAGAAGCUUGGCGAAGCUUAAAUCUUCGCUUGACUUUCACUUGCUUAAUGUCUAGUGUUUUGAGAUAUAUAUGCUGCUUAGAAUAGGAACAUAGAUUUUGGGCAUGCGCAUGAGACCUACAGAAAGAGCAUAUGUGACAUCAUGAAAUUGACUAGUAUCUGCUCUUCCACCUUUUUUUUCCACAUAUAUCAGGUGGAAUCAGAACAUCCUUGCUCCCCAACUGACACGUAUGAAAGGAUGAGAAGAUAUAACUGAUAAUGCAGGGAAAGUAUCUCAUAUCUUUACAGCAGUGGAUGUAGAACCUGCUGUAGUGAAGUAACCAAGUGAAAAAACAACGCAAUCACAACAGAGGAGCACAGUUUUUCAACAUAUCAAAGAAACAUUUAUUAAGUUGUAGAUCACAUAAGCUUUACUCAAAUAUAGAAUCGCCAAUGUCUAUCCGCCGUGGAAGUUUCUUGGUAAAUGUGGAUAUAGAUCAAAACUCAUCGAUACAUUACUAGUUCAUUCAAACAGUAAAAAUGAAGCUUCUGAUUUGGUUGCUUUUGUCCUUUCAUAUAAUCAAUACGGAAGAUUCCAGUCAUGGAAGGUCAUUCUAUUUCCCCCUGUGAAAGUACUACCCUCCUGCAAUAGAGAUAAUACUUAAAUAUGAGAGUAUAUAGUACUCUACCUCUGACGGGUCAUGGAGGAUUACAAUUAUACAUGAUAACAACACUUGGAUCGGCCAAAGGAUUAGCAUCCAACAUCCUUCCGCAUAAGGUUAGCACCAAAUUGUUUCCUUUAUGAUGAGGAUGGUUGGUCAUCAGACCGUCACUCACAUCCAAAAACUAAGGGAUGUCCAACUCCUCACAUGAUAAUCCAUAGACAACAUUAAAUAGUUCUACGUCCCAUGGGAAGCAAAACACAUUGACUUUCUUCAAAAGUAUAAUUCAACAGCCACACGGGGUGUAUAGCCAAAAUGAAGAGGAAAGGGAACCUUGUCUUCCCAUUCCGGGUUGAGUGGAAGUCAUGGAGCUUGCGAAGACCACAGCCCAGGUUGACAUCACAGAAAGAGGCAGCCAUCAGCAUCAUUCACGAGACAUUCCUCCAACUGCGACUGCCUACUGAAAACAAACUGUCUUAAGAUCACCUAUUCGAUAUAGCAAUACGAAGCAGACACGCAUUCCCAUGAAUUCCACAUUGAAAUUUGCAUACCAGGAAAAACGCUUGGCAAACGUAGCCGGAUGAAGAAGAUGACAAAACAGAGGCACUUGAUCAGAACAAGAACCGAAAGUAUGGAAGAGUAGGAAGAGCUCGACUCACCGUUUGGGUUCUUAGUUCUGCCACAUAGAAUCUCAAAAGAUGAUGUCCGGGACAGCUUAGACAGGGCAGGGACGAAGAGAGCUCUAAGGCGCGCGCGAGAGAGAGAAAGAGAAACAGAGAGAGGGAGCAGCAUAUCCAUAUCUGCUGUAAUCUUAAUUCUGCUGAUGAGGAUAAUGUUGGAGCGCUGGUGCACGUGCAUAAUUGCAUUUACACGUGACUCAUUCGUAUUCAAUUUCAAUUGUCAUUUAUGAGUAAAAUUCGUAUUAUAAAUUUGACUAUCCAUAUGCAAAAGAAAUAAAACAGGUCAUUUUUUUUUUUGGCAAAAUGGAAUAAAAACAUGAUUUUCAUUUACAUUUACAUAAAAUUUAGAAAUCUUAUGAAAUGGGGGGAAGGAAAAAUACUUCCUUAUGAAUACAAUGCUAUUGCUAAAUUUUAUCAUUGUGUUUAUGUAAUUUGAGAAAUUUGGUAAGGCUAUUUAGUAAAGAAGAGAGGAGAAAUAUCCAAAAAGGUAAGGAUAUAUUGUCCCAUAAUAAUAAUAAUAAUAAUAAUAAUAAUAAUAAUAAUAUUGAAUUAAGUUCCAAAAUUAAUAUAUAUAUGUAUGUAUAUAUAUAUUUGUCAUACUCUACUUCUACUCCAACUCUCCUUAAAACUACUUUUUUACAAAAUAUAAGAGUCAAAACUCAUAUUUGAUAUUAAAUCGUCCCACCCUAACCUUCCUAAAAAAAUGUGAAUUUGAACCUCCUACCUUCCCCGUCUCAUAAGAGAAGGAUGGCCAUUAGGCCAAACCUCAAUGGUUCACUUAAUUGAGUUGAUGCAAAUUGUACCUAGAUCGUUAGUCAUAUGAGAAUUAGUACCAGUGUCCGAAUGCUACUAUUCAUCUUGUCCAUGCACGCCUUUCUUGCUUAAGCCAAGGGGCAGAAGACUUGAACAUCUCUUAAUUAGUACUCGAUUGUCUACAUGAUGCGACGUGGUUAGCUAAUACAGACGAAUCGACCAAAUGUCCUCAUAUGUCAUGGUUUUUGAAUGUGGUUAUGAUAGUAAAUCAACACUAGGGGUGCCAAAACUUUCGUAUAAUGCUCACUUGAGUGCCAUAACUUUUUUUUUUUCGAUUACUUGAAUAUCAUAUUAAUGUAAAAUUGAUCACUUGAUUGUCAUCUUCGAUAAAUCAUCCUCCAUGGAUUUUUUUUUCUUAAUUUUCCAUUCCGGGAUAAAUUUUUUAUAAAAUACUAAAGUCUAACGUGGAAAUUUUUGUCAAGCAUAACAAGAGUAUAAUAAACGUUGUCAUUUCUUGCCGUUUCCUUAAAAAUCUUCCAUGAGAAGACGACAUCAUUUUAAUUUUCAAACCCUCUCUCUCUUCCUAUCACUUUAAAAAAUUUGAUAAUCCUAAAUGUUUGCGACACUGAAACGAUCAUUCAUGAUAUUAUUAAAACUUCUCCUAUCCUUCAACCAAACACUCAAGCAAAGACGUUUACCUUCUCAAUUGCUAAUUCAACUUUGUGACAUGCUAUGUUGGAUGAUAAAUUACAAAUUAAUGCCACGUAAGCUUUUUUGGUGAGACAAAUCAUCGAUGGUACUCAAGUGAGAAAAAAAAAAGUUAUGAUACUCAAGUAAGUGUUGUAUAAAAAUUAUGACUCUCCUAGUAUACUUAUCCCUAGACUCCAUCACCUCGGACAUAAGUGACAAUUACAUUCUUUAUUUGUACAAAGAGGAAAUGACUUUUACAUUGUCUAUGAUGCAUUGAACCGUUCAAUCUACUCCACGGGUUUGUCCAUGCAAGCCCUUUCUCUUGCUUAAGCGAAGGGGAAGAAGAUUUGGAAAUCUUUUGAUGAGUGCCUAAUUGUCUACAUGAUGCGACGUGGUUAUUUGUUAAAAACGAAUAGACGGAAUGUCCCUAUACAUCGUGGGUUUUGAAUGUGGUUAUAGGCUCGAUUCUUUGGGUUAUCCGCUGCCGAUCCUGAGGGACAGAUCGGCAGUGCACUUCCGGCCGAAACCUUGGAAUGGCAUUUUGUUUAGCGGGUCCCUCAGUUGACGCCUAAUCCGGUUUUUAUGACCAAAAAAAAAACAAAACAAAAAUCCGGUUUUUAUGUUUGGCUUCGUCUUCAACCAAAUGGAAAUCUGCUAUUACUUCAACAUUUUGAACAGGUUCAUCAUGUGGAUGUUGGUUUUAAAGAACGGGUCCCUCAGCUUUUCCCUUGGAUAGACCAGACGCCGUUGGACUCUGCAUGCGCCCACACAAACGGAUGACUGCGACGCUUAAGCAUUCUGUGGUACGAAUGGGAAUUGUAACAUUGCUAGCAAUCCAAAAUGCAUAUGCUUGAAAGGGUUCAUGCCCAACUUUUUUACUGACUAAUUAAUUCAAGUGAUAUAAAUAAUUAUUUUCAGGAAGAUUUUUCCAAAUCAUUUACUUUUCAUGAAACAAAUGGACACUUAAACUUUGACUAUGAAAAGUGAGACUAAAUGUUAUAGACAAGAUGUACUUUAUUAGAACAAAUAACUUAAAUCAAAGGCCCGAAGUGCUAACCUCAGAUUUUGGUUAAUCUAGUGAUCGCUCGAGUGAUAAACACUAUUUUCAUUAUCUUUAAUGUCUGUCUUCAAAUUGUGUCACAAAAAUGUUUGUUUUGUAACUAUUUAUUUUCUUGAUACAGGAGACCAUUACCAUAAGAAUUGUUGCGGAAAGACAAGCUAUCCAGCACAAUGAAGCAGAUAAAAAGGGAAAUAAAUCACAAAUUGCCAAGGGAAGAGUAGCACAUGAUUCCACUAUAAAGUAGGCGAUAUAGUGGACAUUAUAACCAUAUUCAAAUCCCUUAGACAUUCUCAGUAUUUAGUCCCCAUAAUUCCUUGUUGAAAUCUCUCGAUCUCACAGAAGAAUUCACAAAUUUUAUCAUAAAUUUUUAACCAAACACUUACGAAUAUCACUUUGCACCAACUGCCUGACGACCAAACCCAUGAUUGGACAUAAAUGCAUAUCUCUAGCAAAACUAGAAGACUUAUGGCCGACUUUUGUAUCCAACGAGAAAAGUGAUUUCCUUGUUUGUUAGGAAACUUAAUCCAAUUGGGACAUUCUUUUGAUUUUUUGGGCAGAUAUCCGAAAUAGGAUAUCUCCCAUGUAAAUUUAGACUUUUCCUGGGGGGCUGAAACUCGAGAUUUAUUUUUACCAUCUACACAUUGAGUCGACAUUUGAAUCAAGUCACAAUCAUUUCACUAAAACCUGGUCAUUGCUACUCUCCUAUAAUCCCUUAGGGUACAAUCACCAUAGAGAUCUUCCAAAUCCAAGCCACAUCAAAACUUUGCCAUAAUUGUUGACCUCAUUAAAUUACCAACUCUACUUGCAACUUUAACUGGUCCUAAAGUAUUUUCAAACACAAGCUUAUGUAUACAAAAUAAAACAAAAACUAUUGAUGUAUUAUCUAUCAAGAGAUUGAACGUGCAUUUUGUCAAACACAACAGUUAUAACAACUAUUUGCUCUAGAUGUUCUAUCUUGCUACAUUCACCUUUUGGGUCGAUUACCACACAAGCACCCAUUAUCUCAGAAGAUUCUAGUUACAAAUUCAACUUGUGCACCAUCAAGAUUCGCAUAAACACUAUCACACAAAUGUAACUUUUCUACUAACAACAGUGAGUUUAAUUCCUAGCACCACAAUAGAAAGUCCCACUCAGCCUGUGCAUAGUCUAGAAAUAUGCACAUUUUCCCCUCCCAUCAAACUUACCAUCAGUUCGCUUGAACAUAUCAUGAGCAACAAAAUAUUCUAAGAAAUUAUUCAUCAAUAAUGUUACCUAAAUGCACCAAGUACUAAGCACAUCUACCAAGAAUUUCUUCGGCAUACCAACACUAGAAAACAUUUUAUGGGUCAUAUCUAAUAAUGAUUUGCUCAUUAACUCUGGAACCUAUUGUGAUUUUACUAGCACUAGUAUAGUGUUUUAGUAUGCAUUCAUGCGGUAUUCAUUCAAUAGCUCCAUGCAAAAUCAAUGCUACUAUCAGUCCACACAUGCUUGAUUAUCUUACCAGUUUCAUUUUUUAUCAAAACUCUCAACUGCCUAAUUCUGACAAUGGCUUCAAAGUUCUUUCUCAACACAAACAUGUAGGUCCUGGUGGUCGACAAUUGUUGGCAUAAAUCCAACAUUCUUCUUCGAAGGAAAUUGUGACAGCUUACAAAUAUCCCAAGUGAAUAAACUCCACAGUCUAUAUGGUUUCCCAUAUACUUGUACCAUAGUAUGCUUUUCGUAGUUUGCUUAAGUCACAACACUUGCAUUUAUUCAAUUUCUUGGCCACCUAACUUCAUAGUUGAUUCAUUUCACUCAGAUACUUGUUGCUUCUUUCCGAAUGUGUCCUAAACAUAUAUGCCACAAUUCAGACCAGAGAAUAUAUGCACACAACAUCUUCGGGCAAAAUCUGUGACAUCUUGAAAUUUCCAACUCUUUUUUUGAUUAAUAAAUCAAGCAUUUCAUCGAUGCGCCUAUAGUGCUAUUAUCUGAACUAAUCACUCUUGAAAUAACUAGACUAUUUGGGGAAGCUAUUAAGGGAUUUUAACGUAAUAGACUUGAGAAUUUAGUCAGGAAUCGACUACUCGACCGUGCUCAUUUGCAGAGAUCAUUACUGCACAAUUAAAAAUUGAUCAGAGAUCAGAGAUAGGUCAUUUUGACUAACAUAGGUGAUCAAAGUGUGGGUGAUGUCACCAGAUCGCAAAAUUCUCGCCGAUUGGCAUUAGACUGAUUUUUUUGUCAUUUUAGUACCUUGUACCCGUAUUUGAAACCUUGAGAUUUUCACAACCAUAAAGAGUUUCCAAUGUAUCAAAAAGGUACAUUGUGACUCGAAAUAAAUCGAUCACGGGUCAAUUGCACCAAAAAUUUCUAAAAGCUAUUCGGUAGACUAGGUUAUGCUAAAAUCGCGUCAAAUUGAAAUUAACCGCAAAUUUGAAUCUAAUUUUAGAAAUUGAAAGUUUUGUUAUGUCAUGAGUCAUUUUAGGAACAUCGACUCAUCCUUCGAAAAUUUUUCUGCAAAAUGAGAUUUUUGGUGAAAAGUCGAAAUAGGGCCGUUUUUGUCCGGAAAAUUCAGGAGAUCAUUUUUUAUCGCGUUUUUGAGAUACAAAUUGGUUCUAUUGGCAUGGAAAAAUGUCAAUUUGGUCGAGGAUACCUCGGUGGAUUUUAUAGGGCCGAAAUUGGCUUCAAUUGAUUAGGAUUUUGUCUAAUUUUGGGGGAAAAUGUGUAAAUUCGUAGUCCCUUGGUCCUCAACCUUUUGGACCACCUCAAUGACUUCCUAAGGAAGCUUGGUGGCUGCAAAGUGUGCUGAGGAAGCCAGCCUAACUAGUGGGGUCAUGCCAAGGGGAAAAAGGGGUGAGGAUGGAGCAAAUUGGGUCCCUCCAAGGCAAUUGUCCCCUAUCUUCUCCAUUUCAAUAUGCUUUCUCCAUUGCUAAGGUCACAUGAGAGCUUGAGAGACCAGAGAAUCCGGCCAGCAACUCCCCCUCCACUGUCGAUGUCAUUUACUGCCCAUUGAACCACCAGAACGCCGCCGUUGCGCGCCCGAGCACGCCCGCGAGUUGCAUGCCUGCUCAUGCAUCACUGCCGUCCCAGCUUCGUCAUUCACUCCUGCUCACUCGUCUAGCAAGUCGCUUGAGCCAUCAUGGUCGUUGUCCAGCCGCCUGCCAUCAUCAAGCACUGCCAAGCCCUACAGCAACCUCGCCAACCUGUUCUCACCAUUUCCGCACCAACCAACCUCCAUCCGGCCCUCUCAGCCCAAGGAGCAAAAUCAAACCCCUUUAGCCCGGUCGUGAAUUGUUUGGCCUGCUUUGGACUGCUUCCGCGCCUUGAAAGGUGCUGCUGCUUUGGAGUUUGUUACCCGCCUUCGUGUCCUCGUUAUUGUAAACUCAUCGAAUUUCAAAACUGGUGAAUUUAAUCACUAAACUCUGCUUAUGGAGUUAAUUAUGCUUAAUGGUUGAUUAGUUUAGGCUAAUUAGAGAUUGGGUGGUUAGUUAGAAUGGAUUAGCAAUUUAAUUAUUCAUUUAUACAUGUUAGGUGGUUACAUUGGCGUAAUUAGUAAGUUAAUAGGUUGUAUUAUUUAUCUAGAUAGGUUUGAAAAUUUUCUAGGCCCAUUUCGGUAUUUAAUUAGGCUUUUCCAGCCUAAGUUUGUAUUUUUGGCAUUUGUUGGCAUUUAUUUAAUUAAUUUUGGUAAUUAUUUAAUUAUUUAUUAUUUUUUGAAAAUUAUACGGGAAUAGUUGGUGACUGAAAUUUCAUGCUGAUUGCAAUGGCAUGUUUGGUUUAUUUAUUUGGAUGUUAAUUUGUGCAAAUUGAGUGUUAAUUGUAAUUUUGGGUAUUUAUCCCAAAAUUUAGUAAUUUCAAUAUUUAAUUAGAAAAUCAUCGAGUGUCGGUUUACAAUAAAAAAAUAUUUUUAUAGAUUAUGUAACUAGUGUGAUUUUAUAAAGUAAAGAUAUUUUAUUUUUAGCUCAGGCCUACCGUGUAUCUACACAUUAUUAUUUUUACCAGGUAUUAUGGAAACAGUGAAUUUGCCAGUUGAUAGGUGUGACAUAUCAAUAUUAGCUUCAGUAAGCUAUAAUAUGCAUAUAUCAGCUUUGGUGAGCAUAUAUCCACUUCGGCGAGCUAUACUAUCUAUCUAGAUCAACUUCGGUGAGCUAUACUAUCUAUCUAUAUCAGCCUAGGCGAGCAUUUAUUUAUGUAUCAGCUUAGGUGAGCAGUGAUCGCUUCUAAAAAGUGAUUUGAUAGAAAGUAUCAUUUGAUUGAAUGGAGUGAAUGGUUGGUUGAAGUUUAUGAAAUGCAUUGACUUGCAAGAAGGAACAGAGGCAAAUGUAAGUCACCUAUCUCUUGUAAGCAUAGGUAACCUUCGGGGGUAUUUCUUUCCUAGUUGGAGUUUGGGGUGAACUUGUUGAGACGUUGUCUCACCCCGUCGUGGGCUAACAUUUACAGGUCCUUAGAUGGUUUUACCUCCCGAGCAUUUUAACCAACUGAAGAAGGUCACCAAACAGCACUCUCAGAUUCCCCUCCUUAGGAGCCAAGGAGCCUCAGUCUACGAACUCGUGCGAUCCAUUGUCUAGGUUGGUGAGGGUUUAUCUCGAAAAGUACCUCGUAAGUACCCCUUCUAGAGUUUGAGAUUCCUAGGUCGAUGCUGGAGAUUGCUUUUGGCAAGGACAUGACUAACCCUCCUAGUGGUUCAGUGGUAGACUCGAGUCUUUCGGAUCCAGAGUCCUCGGAGUACUUUGUGGAAGACUUGAAUGCUUAGAGGAUCUGUAGCCUCUACCCCUUUUUGUAGACCUUGUAUAUAGAUCGGCUAGUAAUGUAUAUGACUUAGUAUCAUGUGUAUAUAAGCGUGUUGUGGUUUGAAAAUUUUGUGGCCUUGCUUUUCUAUCCCAUUUUUGUUGUUGUCUAAAAAAUUAUUUAUUCGCUUCUGCAUGCGUAUUAAAAUGAAUGGGUUGGCGACGCGUCCUGAAACAUCGCAAUUUAUUCGACCACCGAGAGAUGGGCAUGCACUCGGAGGAUCGGGGUGUGACAUCCCCAUUUAGUGGUAUCAAAGCAGUUUAAUAGUUAGAGUGAUAAGGUGCGAUAAGUUUAUGGGAUAGUUGGUAGGAAAGGCCUUUAUUUCAUUAUGGUGCAUGUCUGUGAUUGUUAUUUGGUAGACUGUUUGUUUGGGAUGGCUCAGCUUCUAAUUCGAUGUGGACUUGGAAAGCGGGUUUUAGUAGAAAACUUGUGUCAUAAGUGAUCAUGAGCAAAAGACUCCUAAGAAGAGGACCAUUGGGCCUGUUACUCGGGGUAGGACACCGAUAAGGGUUAGUAUCCGAGGAGGCCGUGGUCGAGCACUAACUCAAGCUAGCACUAGUGGGGUAGCACCAUCUCCUAUUGGUGCUGGGGUAGCAACCCCUGGUGAUCCCAGGUUCGAAGGGAUCAUGUAGGCGUUUGAAGCAAUGAGAGAUCUAAUGAGGUAGCAGGCCCAGAAUCAAGCUGCCACCACCACUACUGCCACCGCUCAAGCUGGUGCUGCUGCUACCGUUGCCGUUGCUGCUGAAGUCACCGCCAAUACCGCACCUGUCAGAGUUCCAGCUAAGAACAUAGUCAUGGAGAGGGAGACACCAAUCCAUAAAUUGGUAGAGCAAUUCCUAAAACUGAACCCUCUGAGGUUCACCGGUGCCGAAGAUCUAGAGACUACAUCACUUUGGAUUCAAGAUUUGGAGAAGGCCUUUGCGUUGCCGAUGUGCACUGAAGCAGAAAAAGUUGUCCUGGUAGUAUAUCAAUUGUAGGGUAAUGCGAAUACUUGGUGGAGGGCCGCUAGAGGUAUAGUAUUCCCGGAAGGCGUAGUUCCGGUAUGGAACACUUUCCUUAGAACCUUCAACGACAAGUACUUUUCAAGUAGUGCCCGAGAAUAGAAGAUGGAGGAAUUUCAACGCCUCCGCCAAGGGACGAUGAUUAUUGACCAGUAUGAGGUCAAGUUUGCAGAGCUUUCUUAGUAUGCUCCAAGAUUGAUUAAGGAUCCAGAAGACAAAGCUCGAAGGUUUAGGAAUGACCUUCGACUAGAGUUGAAAAACCCGUUGGUACCGUUUGAUCUAAAAGACUAUAGCGAGGUUUACGACCGAGCCUAGCUGAUAGAGAAAAGUUGAAAUGAAUAAGUCGCCUUGUCUAUAUCAAGGUUUAAUUCGAACAGAGACAGAAAUCAGUUUGGGAAGAAACCCAUGACCGAGGAAGGUUCCAGGUCCUACCCAAUAGGAAGGGCGGAGUUGGCAAGUCAGCACCACAUCAGAAUGGCAUGUGUCGCUUCUGUGGAAGAUGACAUGGUUCGGCUCCAUGCCCUCGAUGGAUGGGUGCGUGUUUCGAGUGUGGCCAACAGGGUCACAUGGCUAAAGAUUGUCCUAGAAGACCGAGGGGAUAACAAUAGUUACCACCGAUGCCACCGAUGGGACAAAUUAAGGGGUUAGUGCCGCAGAUUGCACCGUAGGGUGGACAUAACAAACCCACAGCUCAAGGAUGAGUGUACGCCAUUACGAGAGGUCAGGUUGAGGAUGCGCCUGAUGUGAUUACAAGUACGAUUUUGUUGAACGACCAUGUUGCUUAUGCUUUGUUUGACCCUAGGGCAACUCAUUCCUUUAUUGCUGAACAAUUCGUUAAGCUGGUAGGAUUGAGUCCUGAAUUGUUGGAGUUGGUGGUUAUCAUAUCUACACCACUAAAGAAUAAGGUGUUGUCUGCAUUAGGUUGUUUUGGUUGCAAAAUAGUAAUUGGUGAGUGAGGGGAGGAUAGAUUUAUUGUUCCUAGCCAUGUAUGAUUUUGAUUUGAUAAUUGGCAUAGACUGGCUCACCAAACAACGAGCCAAGAUGGGCUGCUAUCAUAAAACGAUUCAAUUUAACCCGUUAGAAGGUGAAAGUUUCGAGCUUGUGAGAAGUCGAGGAGGACCCUCGAUUACCCUAAUCUCGUCGCUUAAGGUAACCCGUUUGUUAAGUAAGGGUUGUUAAGGUUACUUGGUAACUGUCAUUGACACAAUAGUUGAGGAACCAAAGAUUGAGGAUAUCUUGGUAGUCCAAGAUUUUCCUGACAUGUUUCUAAAGGAGUUGCCAGGCCUACCGCCAGAGAGAGAGAUCGAAUUUGUGAUCGAGUUAGCACUCGGGACAAAGCCAAUCUCUAAGGCUUCUUACUGGAUGGCGUUGUCCGAGUUGAAAGAACUAAAGGUGCAGAUGCAGGAGUUGUUGGAUAAGGGAUUUAUAUGCCCUAGUGCAUCACCUUGGGGAGCACCAGUUCUAUUCAUGAAGAAGAAAGAUGGUUCAUUGCACUUAUGUAUCAAUUUCACCAACUCAAUCAAAUGACAAUUAAGAACAAGUAUCCACUCCUGAAAAUCUACGACUUGUUUGACCAACUGCAAGGAGUGUCAAUAUUUUCAAAGAUCGACUUGAGGACAAGGUAUUAUCAGCUAAGAAUCAGAAAUGAGGAUAUACCAAAGUCAGUGUUUCGUACUCGAUAAAGUCAUUAUGUAUUCACUAUAAUGCCGUUUGGUUUGACAAACACUCCAGCUGCUUUUAUGGAUCUGAUGAACCAAGUAUUUAAAGAGUACUUGAAUCAGUUCGUGAUCGUGUUCAUAAUGAUAUUCUGUUAUAUUCGAAGAGUGCUAAGGAGCAUGAGAGUAAUUUGAGAAUGGUACUUCAAACCCUGAGGAUUCAUCAGCUGUACGCCAAGUUUAGCAAGUGCGAGUUUUGGUUGACUCGUGUUGCGUUCCUAGUCACAUGAUUUUAGGUGAAGGAAUCUCCGUGGACCUAUCUAAGAUUGAAGUAGCAAUCAACUGGCCAAGACCAACUACAGUGACAAAGAUCAUAAGUUUUUUGGGUUUAGCAGGCAACUACAAAAGGUUCGUGGAAGGAUUUUCGGCGUUGGCGUCGCCGUUAACUAGACUAUUGAAGAAAGAAGAGAAGUUUGUGUAGAUAGACAAGUGCGAGCGUAGUUUCCAAGAGCUUAAGCUGAAGCUGACUACCACACAUGUAUUGACCAUUCCAUAUGGUCAUGGAGGGUACGAGAUCUACAGUGAUGCAUCAUUCAAAGGACUGGGUUGCGUACUGAUGCAACAUGGUAAAGUGGUUGCAUACGCGUCCCGUCAGUUGAGGCCUCAUGAACUGAACUACCCGACGCAUGAUACAGAACUUGCAGCAAUCAUUUUUGCUCUAAAGAUUUGGAAACAUUAUUUGUGUGGAGAAAGAUUACAGAUCUUCACUGACCAUCAAAGUCUCAAGUAUCUAUUCUUUCAGAAAGAGUUGAAUAUGAGACAAUGUCGUUGAAUGGAACUUUUGAAGGACUAUGAUUGUGAUAUUUUAUAUCACAUUGGAAAGGCAAAUACGGUCGCCAACAUUUUGAGUCGGAAGUCUUCAGUCGCACAAAUGAUGGUUAAGGAAUGGGUUUUACUUGAGAGAGCGCGAGAUUCGGUUUUCAAAUUUGAAGAGGCCACAUUUCGAAUCUUAUGACCACCCUCAGAAUUGAGCCAGAUGUGCAGAUUAGGAUCAAGAAACUUCAAUCGAUAGACCCAAAUGUUCAAAAGAUUAUGCAAGACAAUACUAAUAAGAGAAACGCUGAUUUUCAGAUUUCUGAGGAUGAGAUUUUGAGGUUCCGAGAACAAUUGUGUGUACCUGAUGAUGCAGAGCUUAGAGAAGAGAUCAUGUUGGAAGCCCAUCGUAGCAGUUACAGUAUUCAUCUGGGUGGUACAAAGAUGUAUCAAAAUCUGCGUCAACACUAUUAGUGGUUCGGUAUGAAGGCAAACACCGCCAAGUAUUUGACAUGUUAGCAAGUGAAAGCACAUCAUUGUAAACCGAGAGGAAUUUUGCAACCUCUUGAGAUUCCUGAGUGGAAAUGGGAGCACAUCAUGAUGAAUUUUAUGACAGGCUUACCAAGGAGUCAAAGGGGCAAUGAUUCCAUUUGGGUAGUGGUCGACAAACUGACGAAGUCGGCUCACUUCAUCACUGUGCAAAAGGAUCUAGACUUGGACAGGCACACAGAGUUGUACAUAUGUCAGAUAGUUCGUCUGCAUGGAGUGUCGGUGAUGAUUACAUCAGACCAAGACCUGAGAUUCAUAGUUGCUUUUUGGAAUAGUUUAUAGGCUGCCCUAGGAACGAAAUAGUACAGCAUAUCAUCCUCAGAUGGAUGGCCAAUCUGAGAGGAUGAUUCAAACCCUCGAAGACAUGCUGCGAGCUUGCAUGUUGGAUUUCAAAAGAAGCUGGGAGGAACAACUUCAUCUUGUCGAGUUCACCUACAACAACAGUUACCAGCAGAGCAUUCCGAUGGUUCCUUUCGAAGCGUUGUAUAGUAGAGCGUGCAAAAUGCCGGUGUGUUGGGAUGAAGUUGGAGAACGAAAGAUCAUAGGCCUAGAGUUGGUUCAGCAGUUAGUGGAUGCAGUCGCAAUCAUCAUAGACGGAAUAAAUACCGCUAAGAGCCGCUAGAAAAGCUACGUAAAUAAGUGUCGAAAACCAUUGGAAUUUCAAGUUGGUAAUCACGUUUUUUUGAAAGUGUCACCAAUAAGAUAUACUUCACACUUUGGCAAAAAGGGAAAGUUGAGUUCGAAGUACGUAGGUCCCUUUGAGAUUCUAGAGAGAAUCGAGAUCCUAGCGUAUCGUUUUGCAUUACCGCCAAAGUUGGCCCAAGUGCAUGACGUCUUUCAUGUGUCGAUAUUGAGGAAGUAUGAGCUUGACCCGACCUGACCCACGUGCUUAAUUUUGAGAAAUUAGAUGUGGACGAUAGAGUGUCGUACGUAGAAAGCCCGGUUUAGAUUGUGGAUCAGAAAGAGCAAAUUCUACGUACCAAGACGAUCUCAUUGAUUAAAGUGGUUUGACAACACCACGGCACUGAAGGAGCAACUUAGGAAAGUGAAGAUUCGAUGAGAUGACUAUACCCUCACAUUUUUUUUUAAAGAAUUGUGAUAGUUUAAAUUUCGAGAACGAAAUUUUUAUAAGAGUGGAAAAGUUGUGACAUCCUGAAAUUUCUAGCUCUAUUUUUGAUUAAAUAAAUCGGGUUUUCAUCGACGCGCCUAUAGUGCUAUUCUCUGAGCUGAUCACUCUUGAGAUAACUAGACUAUCUGGGGAAGCCAUUAAGGGAUUUCAACGCAAUAGACUUGAGAAUUCGACUAGAAAUCGACUACUCGACCAUGCUCAUUUGUAAAGAUCAUUACGACACAGUUAAAAAUUGAUAUGAGAUCAGAGAUAGGUCGUUUCGACUAAAAUAGGUGAUCAAAGUGUGGGUAAUGCCACCAAAUCGCAAAAUUCUCGCCGAUCGGCACUAGACUGAUUUUUUUGUUGUUUUGGUACCCUGUACUCGUAUUUGAAACCUUGAGAUUUUCACAAUCACUGAGAGUCACCAAUGUGUUGAAAAGGUAUAUUGUGACUCGAAAUAAAUCGAUCACGGGUCAAUUGCACAAAAAUUUCUAAAAGCUAUUCGGUAGGUUAGGUCACGCCAAAAUCGCGCUAGAUUGAAAUUAACCACGAAUUUGAAUCCGAUUUCAAAAAUUGAAAGUUAUGUCAUGUCACGAGUCAUAUUAGGAACGUCAACUCAUAUUUUGAAGAUUUUUCUACAAACUGAGAUUUUUGACAAAAAGUCGAAAUAGGGCAAUCUUUGUUUGGAAAAUUUAGGGGACCAUUUUUUUUUGCGUUUUUGGGAUGCAAGUUGGUUCUAUUGGUGUGGAAAAAUAUCAAUUUGAUCGAUGAUACCUCAGUGGAUUUUAUAGGGCCGAAAUUGGCUUCAAUUGAUUAAGAUUUGGUCCAAUUUUGCGGGGAAAAUAUGUAAAUUCAUAGCCCCUUGGUUCUCAACCUUUUGGACCACCUCAAUGACUUCCUAAGGAAGCUUAGUGGCUGCAAAGUAUGUUGAGGAAGCCAGCCCCACCAGUGGGGUCAUGCCAAGGGGACAAAGGGGUGAGGAUGGAGCAAAUUGGGUCCCUCCAAAGCAGUUGUCCCCUUUCUUCUCCAUUUCAAUUUGCUUUCUCCAUUACUGAGGUCACAUGAGAGUUUGAGAGACCAGAGAAUCCAGCCAACAGCCCCCCUCCACUGUCGAUGCCCUAUGUUGCCUGUCGAACCGCCAUAAUGCCGCCGCCACGCACCCGAGCACGCCCACAAGUCGCGAGUUUGCCUACAUGUCACCGCCGUCCUAGCUUCAUCGUUCGCUCCUGCUCGCCCAUCCCACAGGUCUCCUGAGUUGUCGUGGUCGCCGUCUAGUUGUCGCUUGCCAACGUUGAGCACCGCCAAGCCCCGCGAUAGCCUCGCCAACUCAUUCUCGCCAUUUCCGUGCCAACCAGCCUCCAUCAAGCCCUCUCGACCCAAGGAGUAGAAUCGAACCCCCUCAGCUCAGCCGUGCACUAUUUGGCCCGCUUUGGACUGCUUCCGGGCCUCGAAAGGUGCCGCGCUUUGGAGUUUGUUGCCCACCUUUGUGUCCCCGUCAUUGUGAACUUAUCGGAAUUCAAAACCGGUGAGUUUACUCACUAAACUCUGCUUAGGGAGUUAAUUACGCUCAAGGGUUGGUUAGUUUAUGCUAAUUAGGGAUUAGAUGGUUAGUUAAAACGGAUUACCAAUUUAAUUAUUCAUUUAUGCAUGUCAAGUGGUUAAAUUGGCGUAAUUAGCAAAUCAAUAGGUCGUAUUACUUAUCUAAAUAGGUUCAGAAAUUUUCCAGACCCGUUUCAAUAUUUAAUUAGGCUUUUCCGGCCUAAGUUUGUAUUUUUAGAAUUUAUUAGCAUUUAUUUAAUUAAUUUUGAUAAUUAUUUAAUUAUUUAUUAUAUUUCAAAAAUUAUACCGGGAUAGCCAGUGACCGAAAUUUCGUGCUGAUUGCAAUGGUGCAUUUAGUUUAUUUAUCUGGAUGCUAAUUUGUGCAAAUUAAGUUUUAAUUGUAAUUUUGGGUAUUUAUCCCAAAAUUUAGUAAUUUCAAUAUUUAAUUAGAGAAUUACCGGCCGUCGGUUUACAACGCCAAAAAUAUUUUUAUAGAUUAAAUAAUUAGUGGGAUUAUAAAAUAUAUUUUAUUUUUGGUUUAGACUUACCGUGUACCCACACACGAUUAUUUUUAUCAAGUAUCAUGGAAACAGUGAAUUUGUCAGUUGAUGGGUGUGACAUAUCUAUAUCAGCUUCGGUGAGCUAUAAUUUACAUAUAUUAGCUUCAGUGAGCAUAUAUCAACUUCGGUGAGCAUAUAUCCGCUUCGACGAGCUAUACUAUUAUCUAGAUUAGCUUCGGUGAGCUAUACUAUCUAUCUAUAUUAGCUUAGGCAAGCAUUUAUUUAUAUAUCAGCUUAGGAGAGCAGUGAUCACUUCUAAAAAGUGAUUUUAUUGAUAGUAUCAUUUGAUAGAUAGUAUAAAUUGAAUGGAGUGAAUGGUUGGUUGAGAUUUAUGAAAUGUACUGACUUGCAGGAAGGAACGGAGGCGAAGGUAAGUCACCUAUCUCUUGUGUGCAUAGGUAACCUUCGGGCAUAUUUCCUUCCUAGUCGGAGUUUAGGGGGUGAAUUUGCUGAGACGUUGUCUCACCUCGUCAUGAGCUAACAUUUACAGGUCCUUAGAUGGCUAUACCUCCCGAGCAUUUUAACCAACCGAAGAAGGUCACCGAACAACACUCUCAAAUUCCCCUCCCUGGGAGCCACAGAGCCUGGGGCAACGAACUCAUAAGAUCCAUUGUUUGGGUUGAUGAGGGUUUAUCUUGGAAGGUACCCCAUAAAUUCAUAUCAUGGUAUCGUUAUGGGCAAGAUGGACCUAGAGAAGGCCCCCUUCUAGAGUCUGAGAUUCCUAGGUUGGUGUUGGAGAUCGCUUUUGACAAUGACACAACUGACCCUCCUCGUGGCUCAGUGGUAGACCCAAGUCUUUUGGAUCCAGAGUCCCCGGAGCACUCUGUGGAAGACUUGAAUGCUUAAAGGACCUAUAGCCUCUACCCCUUUUUGUAGACGUUGUAUAUAGAUCAGCUAGUAUUGUAUAUGACUUAGUCUGAUGUGUAUAUAAGCGUGUUGUGGUUUGAAAAAUUUAUGGCCUACUUUUCUAUCCCAUCUUUGUUGUUGUCUAGGGAUUUAUUAUUCGCUUCCGCAUGCACAUUAAAAUGAAUGAGCUAGCGACGUGUCCUAGGACAUCGCAAUUUAUUCUACCACCGAAAGAUAGACACACACUCGGAGGAUCGAGACAUGACAAAAUCUGUCACUCUCCCCUUGAAGCUCAUAAAUUCUACGGUGCUCAAUUUCUCUCAUCACCAUCACGGUACCUCAAACGGUCCUUAGUGCACCACAUUUUGGAAUACCAACACCCAAUUAAAUUCAAGAAUACUCAAGAAAAUCAGAUUUUUCUUCAAUGCCGGAAUAUAUCUCACUCUGAACUAUGUCCCACGAUGAUGUUAUGCGUUCUAAUUCCAUCAUUGGCUCCACCACGAAAUUACUCCUAUCAGGUUCCCUUCCGCACAGGGAGAGAAUCUUCGAGUUUCCCUGAAGAGCACGUCAGAUGUCCACAUUUCGGUUUUCCAUACUCUCACUCCGUCUCUUCUCAGGCAUCAAGUAUUGAGACUGUCAAAUAUGCGUGGGUUUUGACCAAGUCAAAAGAGAGAAAAGUAAGAAAAAAAUAAAUUCAAAGGAACGAAAAGCCAAAGAAGAGGAAAAAAGGGAAAGGGACGUUCGGCUCCUCUCUUUUUAACCAAGGGCCCGCGCAAAAGAGAGAAACAGAGAGAGAGAGGGAACAAAGAAAGAAGAAAAAAGAAAAAGAAAGAAGAGGGGUAUUCACCGCAAAUGCCUCACCAAACCGAUCUGACUUCGUAAUGCAGCGUAUGGUAAGUACUCACGUCCCUCGUUCAUCCAAUUAGAGUAGUUUCUGUAGUUAGAUCGUAUAUUCGAAGUUUUGUGAAAAUCAAGCCUCAAAAUCCAAUUUUUUUAUUAUUCCAGCUAUGAAAUUUCUUGGGAACGGAGGAUCGUGAUGUUGUAGAGUUGUAGAGUUUGACAGUUGUUGAUUUGAGGCAACGAUUUUGUGGGAGAAAAUUUUUAGGGUUUCGUGUUCACUUCGGGUAAGCAAUUGGUUGAUGCGUAGGAGUUAUUUUGUUAGCAUUUAAGCUUAGUUUAACUGAGCCGUAGUUGAGAUAACAUUUUACUUGGUUUUGAUGUUAUUUCUCACUUAUAUGAUAGGAUUGUGAGUUUGUUGAUUCAAGUGAGCCUUGUUAUUUGGUUGUAGGCGUUCUUAGGUGAGUGAUGUAAUCUCCUUUUUAAAUUUGCAAACUCAUAUUUUGAAAAUGAAAAGUAGAGGUAUAUUAUGUGCAAGUCAUGAGUUGGCAAAAAGGCAAAAGUAGUGGAACUUGCUUUUACUACUUUUUAUUCAUUGAGAAUGAUUUGAGAAAUUUUUUAUAGAAAGUGUCGUGAAAGUUUUAAUGUGUGUAUUACAAUGAGAACUGAUUCAUGAAAAGAGUUCUUUGAUGAUUUGGGAAAUAUUCAACGAGAAAGACAUUUUGAAUUGUUACUAGUUUAUAAAAUGAAUUCUAUAAUGAUAUGAAAAAUAUAUUGUGAAAUAUAUUUAUUAUGUCUGAUGGUCGAGUUGAAAAAGAGGAUAUAGUUUGGUCUAAUGGUCAAGUUGGAAAAGGGGAAAUAGUUUGGGUUUCCGAAAGCUUUUGAGAAAGAAUUGCAUUGACUUGCGUUUGGUUUAUGAAAGGUAAUUUGAUUUGGUAUGCGAAAUUGAUUUGUCGUAUAGAUUUUGAAUUGAUUUGUAAAAAGUUAUGUUUUGGUUUGUGAAGCCAAGUGUGAUGUAGAUUGAUAAAGGACUAGGUGUUACACGAUAACGUAACUUCGUGAGAGCCACCUUUAAAGCCUAGUACCAUUAACAUGUGUUGGAAAAAGACUAAGUACUACACGAUAAUCUAAUUUCAUGAGAGUCACUUCUAGAGCUUUGUAAAAUUGAUAUGUGUUGGAAAAAUGACUAAAUACUACACUAUAACAUAAUUUCGUGGAAGCCACCUAUAAAGUAUUGUACCAUUUAUAUGUAUUGGAAAAAUACUAAGUACUAUACAAUAACGUAAUUCAUGGAAGUCACAUCUAGAGUCUUGUAUCAUUGACAUGUGUUGGUCAAUGGCUAAGUGCUAAACAGUGAUGCAAAUCUUGUGGAAGCCAUCUCUAGGGUCUUGAGACGUGAUGUGAUACUAGUUUGGAAAAUGGAAUGAACCAAUGACAUGAGAUAUGACGAGUUUCAUUAUUGAACUGAAUCCGUGAUACUUGUUUUGAUAUUAUGGAUAAACGGGAAAUUUUGUUAUUGAUAUAGCAAGGUUGAAGUAAUAUAGAACUCAUUUUAUUCUUGUAAGUUGUUAUAUAUCAGAUUGGCAUAAAUGAGUCAUGUCUUUGAGUUUUAUAUGUGUAAUGUGGAGUCUUGAUCUACUAAGAAGAUAUGCACUACUCACUACGGUUGCUCACUCCUUUCCUUCCCAAUCCUUUCAAGUCCCUCAGUGAGCGCUUAUAAAGUGAGAGCGAUAUCGACAUCGACGGGACUUUUGAGAGUUGGAUUUGUGUGAUUGGAGGCUGCAAGGACGUAUGAUUUAGGGUGUGACAGAGAUGGUGAAAGAGAAUUUGGAAACGAUCUGAGACUUGACCAUGAAAAGUGAAAACGGAGAUUACAGACCAGGUAUAGUUUUUUAGAGCAAGAAUUAAAUAAAUCGAAGGUCCGUUUUCGGAUGUCAUAAAUAUAUCUGUUUCUUCACAGUCCAUAACUUUCCCGUGCGAUACGAACAAAUCUGAGAAGAAAUUAAAAGUGAUUUAGUAAGUGAAUUUUGGCAAAUGUCUCCCUCAUAUGUCAAAAGAAUAGUAAUCUUUUUUCUCAAUAAAUUAUCUGUAGCACGGCUAGCACAAUGGCACCGCCGUUCACUUAAAAUGACAGCCGCUUUUCAACGUCUAACACAAUUCUGACAGAUGGGAACCGACGUCUUGUAAAAUGACAAAUUUUUUUUUUUUUUUCGGGGUUUCAAAAGGCCAUCUUACAGACAGCACCUUGAGGACGUUUGAAGUUAGAUUAUGAUAACCAGAAUUAGUAGUUAAUUGUUGGUAUGAAGGGGUCAACUUAAAGUCCAACUAAUCAGUAUUAUACUGUUAAGGGGAAAGCAGCCCUUUGUUAUUUCACCGAUAUAAUCUCGUCCGCCCAACAUCUUAAGCUCCGUGCAUAGAUCCAUUAAUGUCGCCUUAGAAGCCGAUCACUUCUCUGCUGUUCUCAUUGUUGCGAAUACGGAAUCACAUCUUUGUCGUGCAAUUGUCAUCCAUCCAGGCAAUGCACGAUGAAGUUUCUAAGUGUGCCACUGAGUUUGGAAAUGUCGUUUGUACGCUGGUUUAUAAACAGUAAACUCUUAAGUCCUAAUUUCAUCGACUCUUCCUCUUGCACAUCAUUUAAUUAUGUUUUUACGCGGUUCAGGUCCAACAUUUCGGCUCAUUCCUGUUUCAAUGAGUGACAAAGUCAGACAGAAGAUUAAUCAGCCAAGUUUCCUCUCCUCUUUAAUUUCCUCAUGAAUCAGAAGUCAGUUUAGCACUGUAUCAGCUGAACAUCAUCUAUGGAGUCAUGCUUUCCAAUUCUUCUAUGCGGCUUGUGCUUCAUGUCCCUCGUGUUGCAGAUAAGCUAUGCCUUGGACUCCAUAUCAGCCGGCCAGAACAUCACAGAUGGUCAAACGAUAGUCUCUGCCGGUGGGAACUUUGAGCUAGGAUUCUUCAGCCCCAGCAACUCCAAGAACCGGUACGUGGGCAUAUCGUAUGAGAAGCUAUCAACUGGGAGGGUGGUUUGGGUCGCAAAUCGUGAAAAUCCCCUGAAAGACUCUUCAGGAGUCCUAAAGCUCACUCCUGAGGGUGUACUGAUUCUCCUGAACCUUACCGAUGGGGUCGUUUGGUCCUCCAAUGUGUCGAGAUUGGCCCAGAAUCCGAUUGCGCAGCUUUUGGAUUCUGCCAAUUUCGUAGUAAAAGAAGAAAAUGACAAUGACUUGGGUAACGCAAUCUGGCAGAGUUUUGAUCACCCUUGUAAUUCGCUUUUGGCUGACAUGAAGCUUGGUAAAGACCGAGAAAAAGGCCUGGACCGGUACUUGACCUCAUGGAAAAGCAGGGAUGACCCUUCACCGGGUGAAUUCACAUAUAGGCUCGAUACUUCAGGAUAUCCGCAGCUGAUCCUGAUGAACAGAUCAGUAGUGCAGUCCAGUUCGGGACCUUGGAACGGCAUUCGGUUUAGCG
rnacentral:lncRNA from 1 species